CAGCGCAGGAACCGUUGGCACCAACGCCUCUUCGGGAGCUCAGGAACCCCCGCCACCUCCAGAGCCCCAGAGCACCGGAGCCAAGGCCGCCAGAGCACAGAAACUGUUGGGAGCCAAUGCGGAGUCCUGAGCGUAGGAACCCGCUGAGGCCGCCUCACCGAGCCAUCCUCGCCACCAAGAGCACAAAGUCGCCACUGCUGCCAGAACACAGGAAACGUUGGAGCCAAUGCCGCUGCCGCCACCAGAUCAAGAAGCCAAUGCCAGCGCCAUCGCUUCUGCCAGAGCACAGGAACUACUGGAGCCAACACCUUGUUGAGCCACCACGCUGCAACCCACGACGCUGCCGCUGCCGCUGCUGGAGCCAAGAGCCAAUGCCGCAGCCUUGCUGCCACCAUAGCAAAGGUCCGCUGGAGCCAAAGCCGCCUCCAGGACGCAGAGGCUGCCACUGUCACUGCAACCACCUUUAGAGCACAGGAGCCAAAGCCACCUGCUGUGUCCUGAGCGCCAGAGCCCCCGCCGGCAUCACCAGAGAGCUGGAGACAAGGACUCUGCUAUCUCUGCUUCCAGGAAGCACAGGAGCUUCAGGAAGGCAGGAGCCCCAGUCGCCGCAGCCGCUGCAGCCGCCAGACCUUAAAGCGGCUCACGACAGGAUCCAAGCCGAAUGAACUCUGUGCAAGGCUUUGCUGUGACCUCCAUGGGGUAAGGGAGGCGUGAGGGAGGACAGCCUCUGCCGCUCCCACAGCGUGAUCGCAAAAGCAUUCUUGCUUUGUCUCUCAGGGUUGGAGACCCAGCAGAAAUUGGAGAACAACCUGAAGAAGGUGGUGCCUUGGGGAAACAGCCUGCAUUAGAGGACCCACUCUGGAACAGACCCUCAGUUCCCUCUUUAAGGUUGAGAGGGUGAAAGAGCAAGGUGCAGAAGAAAUCAAACAGGUGAUGUAUCCAAAUGAAUUGGUAUACUGGAUGAAAAUGUGUUCUGUGAAACCAAUCUGAAUGCAGAAAGAGCCAACAUUUUCUUAUGUCUCUUUCCUGUACAAAUGAAGAAGUAAUCCUAUGAGGCAAAAGUGCUAAAUUCUUUCAAGAGUGCCAUGAGCAAGCUCCUCUUUUCACUAUCUUGCUCUCACAGAGCUGACCAUCUCUUCUUUCCCCCUUUCCACAACUAGUGUCUACGUCUCACUCCAAUUCCUCAAGACCUUAUGCCUAGAAGACUGUGUGAUGCUUCUGAUAGGUGUUCUGCUCUCAUUUCUUCCCCUCUACAUAUGUGAUGCUCACCAGCUGAAUCCUCUUCAAGUUCUGCCUAUCUUAUAGGAAAGCAGAGCAUACUGGUUGACACAUAGACUCUAGAACCGGUCUGCCAGUUUUCAUCUUCAGUGAAUAAAAAUAAAGGUUAUAUUGGGAACCUGCCUUCAAAUGUUCCAUAACUACUUCUUCUUUCAUUCCUUCCUACCUCCCUCCCUCCCUCCCCUCCUUCCUUCCUUACUUCUUGAUGUUUGGAAUUCCUAAUCCUCCAGAAUUCUACAAACAUUGACAAAAGGCUUCCUGAUUUCUUCCUUCUGUGUGCUUAUCACCCAAUCUGCUUAUUGAGUCAUCUUACAUGCCUUGAUUUUCAUUGCCCAUUACAAUUUCAUGUCCGAGUCUUUUCUAAUUCAAACCCAAGAAGCUGUUUUUGUGGCAUUUCAUGAACUUCAUUUCAGGUAUGUGUACUGAUUAUCAAAACAAGAGUAAAAGUAGCACACUCUGCCAGGCAUUAUGCCUACUGCUUCCUAUCCAGCAUUUCAUUGCACUCUCACUGAAAUGAACUCAAGACCAGUUAGUGAAUCUUGUGAUUGGGGUUACUCUCUCAUAGAGGAACCCUUUUUUCUUGGCCUCCAGUGUCCCUUAGUGUGAGGUAGGGCUGACACAAGUGCAUCUUUACCUUAAUCAACAAUCAAAGAAACCAAUAUUCCUUUUCUUUUUCAACAUCCACACAGGGCUGUGAUUUUAGGUAUCCUGUACUGUGUUUGAGGACCUAGUUGGUCCAAAUUGAUUUUUUUCCUAUGUAUUCCUAUGCAAUAAUUGAGAUACCUCAGACAUCAAUUUGGGGACAUUUUUGAAGACCUCUGACUUCUUUAGCUCUCCUCUAUGAGUAGUGCCUCUUGCCAGGGUGGGUCUGUGUCUGGCUGACCUUAAUGGCUUCUCUGGGAAGCAUUGGAAAUAAUUGUGUCUGCAAUGACCCUCCGCUUUGCAGAAGGUGCACGGGAUGGCUUCCUGUUCUCUGGGGUCCUCUCAGUCUCUCUGAUCUGCAGAUUCUAUGGAUCAUCUUACAACUUUCCCUUAUCCCUUCCAUUUAAUCAGAGUCAGCAUGAGUAUUGGAUGUCAGCAUUCUGUACUACCUGUACUGUAGGUGAUGGCUUAUGAUCUGCACUAAAACCAGGUUGUUGUUUAGAAGGAAUACAUUUGCCAUACACUAACAGAUAACAGUUAUAAAGGGGAAUGCCUCUGUGGAGUUCACACAAAUGUGAGCACAGGGCUGGCUUGAGAACAUUUAAGGUGACUUGAUGGUUUUGUUCCUAUACAGGGGGUGGAAGAGGUGAUGAUGCCAUCACCAAGGGAGCGAUGCCUCAGCGCACCAAGGUGAAGCUUAUGCCCUCGACUUCCAUUUAGGAAAAGGCCCCCUUGUACCUGAUUUUUUAAUCUGGUCUAUUAAGAGAAGAAUGGAGAAUGUUCAGCUGGAAAUAGACUUCUCCAUGCAGUGUGCAUCCACCAAUAGGCAAACACAUUAGUGACAUAACAUAUUCCACCAGCCCUAGUUGGGACUUCUCAUUUUUGUAUAAAAUGGACUGACACAUCAGUUUAAAUUCUUCUAAAAAUCAUUGCCAUUGAAUGGGAGGAUUCUAGGAGCUGAAGCAUGCUUGACUUUUGGUAGGGACCUAAAUGUAUAAUAUGAGCAGAUGCAUUUGUUUUCAUGAUGGUCAUAAGAAAGUCACUACAGUUUGAGGGCUUGGACCUCACUUUUGACAAGUAUGAUUUGGUUUGGAAGAGUCAUGUAGCCUCCCUUGAAACCUUUUGGUUUUGGCAACAGAAGAACUUUGGGUGACGUGGUGCUAACCUUUUUUGCUCCUUAAUCUUGUGGUAACUCUCUUUGGGCAUCAGCUUACUGGGUAGCAAGUACUCCCAGACCAGGAUAAUCACACAUCUCCCAGGAAGUAGAAGAUAUUUGAUAUCCACCAAGAGGUCCCAGUGUCUCUUGGGACCUUGUCCAGGGGUGGCACACCUUGGAGCUCCAGUAAUGGAGGGAGGGAAUUGAGCUCCUCCACAAGUAUUGUUUCCAAGUGUCUCUUCCCAGCCACCCUCCAAAUCUCCUUGUAUUGGUGAGACUGGUUCCCCCACUCUAGAGAGGAAGGACAUUGCCCAGGUAAGGGCCAUUGAGAUGCAAAUGACUCUGAAUAUUUUCAAAACAUUUACUACAGUAAAAACUGCAUGGAAUCUGACCUCUAUGUCAAUGUCAAUUGCCUUAGGUUAGCUCCCUUUUCUAAUAUCCCUGGAAGUUUUCAACUUCAUUGAGCAAAGGUUAAAACUCUAAAGCAAAAUGUGUAUAUUGAAACAUUCACCCCAAGGGCUAGAGUGGGAAGGAAAUGGGAGUGGACAUUCCUUCCACUUCCAAUGGAGACAGGGUAAAAGGCAGAAUGGUUCACCAUGGGAGUCAGGAUAAGCAUGCAGAGGGGAAGAGCAAAAGAUAUCUCCUGAAAGAUAAUCAGGAGUGGGGAUUUGGACUGCUGCUGUGGCAUCAGGUUAGAUUAGAGCUGCUGUGCAGCCAGUAGUGCAGGUUGCAGGGGAACAGGGGCCUGUGCCUUGGUGCUGCUUCCUCUGAUGGCAUAGUACCUGCCUUCACAGGUGUCCAACUGCCACAAAGAAUCUGGAAACUUGACUUGAAUCUCAAUUUGGGGGCCUGCCAGGGAAGGGCCUGUGUUGAUACUGCAUUCAUGCCACAAUGCCGUUCUUUGUUU